GAUGAACGCUGGCGGCGUGCCUAAUACAUGCAAGUCGAGCGAACAGACGAGGAGCUUGCGCCUCUGACGUUAGCGGCGGACGGGGGAGUAACACGUGGAUAACCCACCUAUAAGACUGGGAUAACUUCGGGAAACGGGAGCUAAUACAGGAGAAUCUAGUGAACCGCAUGGUUCAAUAGUGAAAGACGGUUUUGCUGUCACUUAUAGUUGGAGCCUCGCUGCAUUAGCUAGUUGGUAAGGUCACGGCUUACCAAGGCAACGAGUCGUAGCCGAACUGAUAGAGUUAUUGGCCACACUAGAACUUGGACGCGGUUCUGACGCCUACGGGAAGUCGCAGUCGGGAAUCUUCCGCAAUGGGCGAGAGUCUGACCGAGUAACGGCGCGUGAGUGAUGAAGGCCUUCGGAUCGUAAAACUCUGCUAUUAGGGAAGAACAAAUGUGGCAGUAACUAGCAAAGUCUUGACGGUACCUAAUCAGAAAGCGACGGCUAACUACGUG
rnacentral:rRNA from 1 species